rnacentral:lncRNA from 1 species
UUCUUCAUAUUUUAUUGCGAAAAAAGAUUGAAAAUAAAAUAAAAAAAGGGUUAAGGUGAAGGUUUGAGAUUAAAAUAACCGAAGCAGGAAUUUAAUCGAAGAAAUUGAAUGGAUGACCUCACAAAGACUUGGUGUGGAGGAGACCAAAAUAUGUUAAUUAUAAAUAAUAAAUAAAUAUACGAAUAAAAACUAUAAGUUUCAUUUUUCCGCAUAAGAAAACGAAAAUAGAAUAAUAAAAAAAAUUAAGUUUUGGAAUAAUUUAAAUUAAAUGGAGAUACAGAAAUGACUAACCUAAAUUAAAUAGUUACUAAGGAAGAAAAAAUAAAGAAAGAUGGAUCUACAAGAAAUAAAAUUAAAUGAGAACAUGAGAACAAAAUAAAAUACUCAAAGCAAGAAUCGAACUAAGGACUUGGUGGGAGACAGGAGAAAUGUCAACCACCAGGCCAGGAGCGAUUGGUUGGAAGUUAGAUACAUCCACGCGUACAAAUAAUAAAACCGAUGAAAUUUUGAAAAAAAUAAAAAAAUAGAAUGGGCCAAGGGUGGCCGAAAGGCC